rnacentral:rRNA from 1 species
GGGAAAAGUAGCUUGCUACUGGACCUAGCGGCGGACGGGUGAGUAAUGCUUAGGAAUCUGCCUAUUAGUGGGGGACAACAUCUCGAAAGGGAUGCUAAUACCGCAUACGUCCUACGGGAGAAAGCAGGGGACCUUCGGGCCUUGCGCUAAUAGAUGAGCCUAAGUCGGAUUAGCUAGUUGGUGGGGUAAAGGCCUACCAAGGCGACGAUCUGUAGCGGGUCUGAGAGGAUGAUCCGCCACACUGGGACUGAGACACGGCCCAGACUCCUACGGGAGGCAGCAGUGGGGAAUAUUGGACAAUGGGGGGAACCCUGAUCCAGCCAUGCCGCGUGUGUGAAGAAGGCCUUUUGGUUGUAAAGCACUUUAAGCGAGGAGGAGGCUACCGAGAUUAAUACUCUUGGAUAGUGGACGUUACUCGCAGAAUAAGCACCGGCUAACUCUGUGCCAGCAGCCGCGGUAAUACAGAGGGUGCAAGCGUUAAUCGGAUUUACUGGGCGUAAAGCGCGCGUAGGUGGCCAAUUAAGUCAAAUGUGAAAUCCCCGAGCUUAACUUGGGAAUUGCAUUCGAUACUGGUUGGCUAGAGUAUGGGAGAGGAUGGUAGAAUUCCAGGUGUAGCGGUGAAAUGCGUAGAGAUCUGGAGGAAUACCGGUGGCGAAGGCAGCCAUCUGGCCU